AGGUCAAAUAAAUUAACCAAAAAAACACACUGCAGGUGCGUAUGAAGAAGGAAGUAACAGAUAGGAAUGGCUACUCCAUCCCCACCACACACUCCCCUCACCCAGUUUCUUCAUUUUGAUCACAACAUUUACCUUCCUACAAUUGAGUUCAUCAACAAUACAAAACCCAUAGAUACGGAUUGUUUUUCAAUCUUGGUUUCAUUUAAGACUCCUCCCAUUUACUUUAAAUUAUUGGAACUAUCCUUACCGGUUACAUUUCUCGGUAGAGGUUUAGAUUCUUAAGAAAAAAACUUGGUCCAAUAUUACUCUACAUAAAUCAUUUCGCAAAUUUAAAAAACUUGGCAAAAAAAGUUAUGGAAAAAUCAAAUACAAAAUUUAGUAUCAUCAUUCAAAUUUACAAUGGUCUGUAAACACAGAUAUACUGGCUAAUGAUUCUGCAUUUAUGAUUUGUGUUUACGUAUACAUACAUUAAAAUCAUAUUGAUGACUUCUCAAUAAUACCCCUUUAAUUUUUAAAUUUUUUAAAAUUUAUACACGUUCAAUAUAAAAAUUUUUAAGGCAAACAACUGGGCCGACUAAAAAUCUAUAUUAUAUAUGAGCUCCAUUGAACCUGUCCACGUCAGCAUAAAAAAUCAACCAAUAAAAGAUUAGAUAUUCGCCACGUCAGACGCUCCGGGCGUAUCAUUUGGGCCUCGCAUUCUACAGGCUCGAUAAUGUUCGGAAUAGAAAAGCCCUGGAAGCCCGUGAGCGCUGAAGUCCCCUUUCCCUUUUUCGCGAAGAAUCAACCCUAAUUUAUCAAAAUCGAUCUUCGAUCCCCUUUCUCUUCCUCUUCUCUGUUUACUACGUUUGAUGAAUCUUUAUCGUGAUGGAGGCUUGCCGCAGAAAACCUUGCCGUCGCCGGCUCAACCUCCGUCUGAGAACCAGAGAACCGCGGCGGAGGUACAAAGGAGAAACGAGAAGAUCGCGAGAUUCAUAGAACUUUCUCAUGGAUCGUCGUAUGUGGCGGACGCAACAAAGUACCUCAGCGACAACAAUGGGAGAGCGAUGAAGAUCCAUGAAGAUCAUUGUCAUCGUCACUGUCAAAGAUCCAGCCGGAGUCAACAUGCAACCAAUGCUCAAUCUGUCCUCAAGCGUCUAUUUCAUCAUCGGCUGUUUACUAAUGUGUUUAGUUGUUCAAUCUCCGAGAAACCAUUCCUCGAUGUGACGGAGUUCGAGCCAGUUUUUGUUUGUUUUGGGAAGAUGGUUCAGAACUUCGUAUAGUCGAACUCCCCGAUAGGGAAACCAAAUGUGGCCGCUACCGCUGCACGAUACCUCCUCCGACAAUGAAUUAGAUAUUUCGGUGUUUCAUCUCAAAUAUGAUUUUUGACAUUGAGUUUGAUUCCAUGCGCGAGCGUCACGGAUAGGAACAUCUUAGCCGACGCGUCGAAGGGGGAUAGAGGCAGUUGCUUCUUGACCGAAGACGAUGUGGCGAGGAAGGCAAAGGCUCUCACGUUCGUAGAGGCUUUGUCGUGAGUUAUCUUAAUUAGAUUUAUUAUAUAUGAUCAUUGCUUGUACGUUGACUCUUCAUGCAGAUGUUGUAAACACCAUGAGUCUUCCUUUUGAUCACGAUCAACAUGAGAUCGUGAUUGAAUAUUCAUGUUGAGGUCACCAUGAGAUCAGAGUUGAGAACUGUACCACAUUCUUUUUCAAUGCAAAAAACAACAGUUAGAAGUUGUGUAACAAACAAACAUCUUCUUUCCAAGAUGGGUGCUAGCUCUCUGUUGCGUGCAUGAUGCAGAAGCCAAGCUGGUGCUGCUACGAAAAUUUGAUUGAUCAGUCAGUACCUCACCUGGUUGGGAGGCAAAGAAUCUGCGAAGCUAAUAAAAAAUAAAUUAACAAGAGUGUGUAAUACCAAGCUAACAACUUAAUUUACACAGUCAGGACAUCAAUAUUUACAGUCGUAUUCGCGUACUCAUUAUUCUUUCUUUAAUAUUUCAUUUCUUUUAAAUAAUUAUAAAAAUUAAGGUAGAUCCAGACCAAUGUAUUUUUUUACUGGUAUUAGAUGACUCUACUUUCUACCUUUCCGUUUGGUUGAGUGUUUUGUUCUAGGAACGAUGAUAUUCGUUCUGAAGUUUUAAUCAUCACUUAUUUACAGUUUA